UACGUAGGUGGCAAGCGUUGUCCGGAUUUACUGGGCGUAAAGAGCGCGCAGGCGGUCGUUCAAGUCGCGUGUGAAAGCCCCCGGCUCAACUGGGGAGGGUCACGCGAUACUGAUCGACUCGAAGGCAGGAGAGGGAAGUGGAAUUCCCGGUGUAGUGGUGAAAUGCGUAGAUAUCGGAAGGAACAUCAGUGGCGAAAGCGGCUUCCUGGACCAGUACCGACGUUCAGGCACGAAAGCGUGGGGAGCAAACAGG
rnacentral:rRNA from 1 species